rnacentral:lncRNA from 1 species
UCAAAUAAAGCCUUGACGACAUCUCCUUGCCCUCCCCCGGCUCUGCCCCUCCAAACACACCGCCUCCCGCUCCGUUUGGGGUUUUUUCUUGCUGUUCGGUUGCUCCCGGGCCGCCCUCCUCCCGGGGAAACCGCGACGGGCAGGGGGCCUGGGGCGGCCGGGAGCGGCGCGCUGGCGCGGGGGAGAGGCGGCUAGCGGAUCGCUCUGUGGGAGCGCGGGCAGGGCUGGCCGGGCGAGCAGCUAUUUCCUCGUCACAUGGCCAUUUGAACGCGACGCGGGAGCCUUGCCUAGCGAAGCGGGGGAGGGGGGGCGCCAAGAGCAGGGAGAGAAAAGAAAAGAGGAUCUCUAUUUCCCCUCGGCGGUCACCGAAACGGGGCGAGGUUAUGGAGCGGACUGGGGAGCAGCGGGGGGUCGGUCAGAAGCCCCUGCCCACCUGCUGGCACUCCCCUGCCCGUCCGGCUCCAGGAAGCGCCGCAAAAACCUCCUUCUCUCGGAUGGACGAAAUGUCCGCAGAAAGCACGGAGUAACCCUAACAACAAUGCUGAUAAGGAAAAGCCUGUCAUGGUUUCUUUUCAAGUCCGAUUUCAAGCCUGGGAAACUGGAUGAGCGAAAUCGGCCAUUUCGAAGUGAAAGCACUUUUCGAGAUAAGUUUUUUUCCCCCCUUCCCCCGUUGUUUUUUCCUCCUUUACUCCCCUGUCAUGAUUACUGCUUCCCGACCGGCAAGGCAAAAUUCAGAGAAAUUAAUGCCUACCUAGCUGUGGGAUGCAGGUGCCGAAGCAGUGGUGAGAGGAUGGACCGACAGCUUUGGCAAUAGAAACCGAAUACCCACCAACGCUGAAUGCAUGGCCGAUCCGGGGCUCGUCGUGCACAGGGCGCAAAUCCUGCUGCAGAAGGGCGUAUGUGUGCUCGCACAUGUGCUCGGUUACGGUGGCAAUAUUAAAAAUAAAAACUGCGAGUAACCUGCCGCCUUAAACA